rnacentral:rRNA from 1 species
AACAGAAUGUCAUAGAGGGUGAGAACCCCGUCUUGGACCCGGUUGUAGGGCCCGUGUGAAACUCCUUUCGACGAGUCGAGUUGUUUGGGAAUGCAGCUCUAAAUGGGUGGUAAAUUUCAUCUAAAGCUAAAUAUUGGCCAGAGACCGAUAGCGCACAAGUAGAGUGAUCGAAAGAUGAAAAGCACUUUGAAAAGAGAGUUAAACAGUACGUGAAAUUGUUGAAAGGGAAGCGCUGGCGACCAGACUUGCGCGCGGCGGUUCCCCCUGUCCUCUGGACUGGGCUACUCCGCCGCGUCCAGGCCAACAUCGGUUCUAGGGGUCGGUCAAAGGUUCGGGGAAUGUACCUACGCCUCCGGGUGUAGGCUUAUAGCCCCGGACGUCAUGCGACCUCCCGGGACCGAGGAACGCGCUUCGGCUCGGAUGUUGGCGUAAUGGUCGUCAGCGACCCGUCUUGAAACACGGACCAAGGAGUCUAACAUCUAUGCGAGUGUUUGGGUGUCAAACCCGGAACGCGGAAUGAAAGUGAACGGAGGUAGGAAGCUUCGGCUGCACUAUCGACCGAUCCUGAUGUCUUCGGAUGGAUUUGAGUAAGAGCAUAGCUGUUGGGACCCGAAAGAUGGUGAACUAUGCCUGAAUAGGGUGAAGCCAGAGGAAACUCUGGUGGAGGCUCGCAGCGGUUCUGACGUGCAAAUCGAUCGUCAAAUUUGGGUAUAGGGGCGAAAGACUAAUCGAACCAUCUGGUAGCUGGUUCCUGCCGAAGUUUCCCUCAGGAUAGCAGUAACGUUUUCAGUUUUAUGAGGUAAAGCGAAUGAUUAGAGGCCUUGGGGUUGAAACAACCUUAACCUAUUCUCAAACUUUAAAUAUGUAAGAAGUCCUUGUUGCUUAAUUGAACGUGGACAGUUGAAUGUAUCGUUACUAGUGGGCCAUUUUUGGUAAGCAGAACUGGCGAUGCGGGAUGAACCGAACGUGAGGUUAAGGUGCCGGAAUGCACGCUCAUCAGACACCACAAAAGGUGUCAAUGCAUCCAGACAGCCGGACGUGGCCAUGGAAGUCGGAAUCCGCUUAGGAGUGUGUAACAACUCACCGGCCGAAUGCAUUGGCCCUGAAAAUGGAUGGCGCUUAAGCGUGCUACCUAUACCUCGCCGUCACGGUUGACAUGAUGCCGUGACGAGUAGGCAGGCGUGGAGGUCCGUGACGAAGCCUUGG